UGGGGAAUCUUGCGCAAUGGACGAAAGUCUGACGCAGCAACGCCGCGUGGGGGAUGAAGCUUCUCGGAGUGUAAACCCCUUUCGACCCGGACGAAUGCCCGCAAGGGCUUGACGGUACGGGUAUAAGAAGCCCCGGCUAACUACGUGCCAGCAGCCGCGGUAAAACGUAGGGGGCCAGCGUUGCUCGGAAUUACUGGGCGUAAAGGGUCCGUAGGCGGUGUGGCAAGUCGGAAGUGAAAUCUCUGGGCUUAACCCAGAGGCUGCUCCCGAAACUGCCGUGCUAGAGUGCGAGAGAGGCGAGUGGAAUUGCGGGUGUAGCGGUGAAAUGCGUAGAUAUCCGCAGGAACAUCCGAGGCGAAAGCGGCUCGCUGGAUCGCAACUGACGCUGAGGGACGAAAGCUAGGGGAGCAAACAG
rnacentral:rRNA from 1 species